UACGUAGGGUGCAAGCGUUAAUCGGAAUUACUGGGCGUAAAGCGUGCGCAGGCGGUUUUGUAAGUCUGUCGUGAAAUCCCCGGGCUCAACCUGGGAAUGGCGAUGGAGACUGCAAGGCUAGAGUUUGGCAGAGGGGGGUAGAAUUCCACGUGUAGCAGUGAAAUGCGUAGAUAUGUGGAGGGAACACCGAUGGGCGAAGGCAGCCCCCCUGGGUCAAAAACUGACGCUCAUGCACGAAAGCGUGGGGAGCAAACAGG
rnacentral:rRNA from 1 species